CGUGAAGGAUGAAGGUUUUCGGAUCGUAAACUUCUUUUAUCAGGGAAUAAUCAUGAAGGUACCUGGUGAAUAAGCGCCGGCUAACUACGUGC
rnacentral:rRNA from 1 species